GACUUGAGUUUUGGGAAGCAAUAAGAAUUCUUGAGAGCAUUCACUCAAAUUUCUCUCCCUCUUGCGUUCUUACUCUCUCUGGUAUCGAUUUUCGGUCAGUUUCUAAGUUAGAGAGUUUUAUUAUGGAGAACGGACUUCUUGACAGAGUGGAAGACAACGCUAACGUCCAUAUAUGGUCAGAGCAAACUCAGUUAGUAAAAGAAAAUAGUCUAGCCAUGGGAUAUGUGUCAGAGCUGUCAGACUACAUUCGUAUCACACAGGAUAAUCAGCAUGAGUUAAAGGAAAUAUGGGAUCAAUGGGGUAGUGAAGCCAAGCAGUUGUUCUACAACAACCAUGGGGACUUGCAGUACUUGCUUGACUUGGGAAUAGACGAGAAU